AAGUCGUAACAAGGUUUCCGUAGGUGAACCUGCGGAAGGAUCAUUCAUAAUAAGUGUUUUAUGGCACUUUUUAAAUCCAUAUCCACCUUGUGUGCAAUGUCAGUCGAUCUUCUUCAUGGAGAUCGACCAAACAUCAACCUAAGUUUUAACUCUUUGUCUGAAAAAUAUUAUGAAUAAACAAUUCAAAAUACAACUUUCAACAACGGAUCUCUUGGCUCUC
rnacentral:misc_RNA from 1 species